AUUGAACGCUGGCGGCAGGCCUAACACAUGCAAGUCGAGCGAGCGGCGGACGGGUGAGUAAUGCCUGGGAAUUGCCCAGUCGAGGGGGAUAACAGUUGGAAACGACAGCUAAUACCGCAUACGGAUUGAUGGCCCAGGUGGGGUUAGCUAGUUGGUGAGGUAAUGGCUAACCAAGGCGACGAUGCCUAGCUGGUCUGAGAGGAUGAGCAGCAACACUGGAACUGAGACACGGUCCAGACUCCUACGGGAGGCAGCAGUGGGGAAUAUUGCACAAUGGAGGAAAGCCUGAUGCAGCCAUGCCGCGUGUGUGAAGAAGGCCUUCGGGUUGUAAAGCACUUUUAGCGGGGAGGCGUUACUUGCAGAGUAAGCACCGGCUAACUACGUGCCAGCAGCCGCGGUAAUAC
rnacentral:rRNA from 1 species